AUUGAACGCUGGCGGCAUGCCUUACACAUGCAAGUCGAACGGCAGCACGGGAGCAAUCCUGGUGGCGAGUGGCGAACGGGUGAGUAAUAUAUCGGAACGUGCCCAGUCGUGGGGAUAACGUAGCGAAAGCUACGCUAAUACCGCAUACGAUCUACGGAUGAAAGCGGGGGAUCGCAAGACCUCGCGCGAUUGGAGCGGCCGAUAUCAGAUUAGGUAGUUGGUGAGGUAAAGGCGUCACCAAGCCGACGAUCUGUAGCUGGUCUGAGAGGACGACCAGCCACACUGGGACUGAGACACGGCCCAGGACUCCUACGGGAGGCAGCAGUGGGGAAUUUUGGACAAUGGGCGCAAGCCUGAUCCAGCAAUGCCGCGUGCAGGAUGAAGG
rnacentral:rRNA from 1 species